UACGAAGGGUGCAAGCGUUACUCGGAAUUACUGGGCGUAAAGCGUGCGUAGGUGGUUUGUUAAGUCUGAUGUGAAAUCCCCGGGCUUAACCUGGGAAUGGCAUUUGGGACUGCAAGGCUUGAGUGUGGCAGAGGAGACUGGAAUUCCUGGUGUAGCAGUGAAAUGCGUAGAUAUCAGGAGGAACACCGAUGGCGAAGGCAGGUCUCUGGGCUAACACUGACGCUCAUGCACGAAAGCGUGGGGAGCAAACAGG
rnacentral:rRNA from 1 species